UCCUACGGGACGCAGCAGUGAGGAAUAUUGGUCAAUGGGCGAGAGCCUGAACCAGCCAAGUCGCGUGAGGGAAGACGGUCCUAUGGAUUGUAAACCUUUUUUGCCGGGGAGCAAAAAGCGGUACGUGUACCGCAUCGAGAGUACCCGGAGAAAAAGCAUCGGCUAACUCCGUGCCAGCAGCCGCGGUAAUACGGAGGAUGCGAGCGUUAUCCGGAUUUAUUGGGUUUAAAGGGUGCGCAGGCGGCGAGUUAAGGAAGCGGAAACAUUUCGGGGCUCAAGCCCGA
rnacentral:rRNA from 1 species